AAGCAGCCGUCCGGCCGGCCCGGCUCAAACAGUCCUCUCUCCUCCUGUUUGGAGCUCUGCUUUUCCCCUUCUCGUCCCUGAUUUAUUCGUUGGCGUCCCGCUGGAGCAAAAUGAGACCCGCGUGCAUUCGCCUGUUCGCCCGCAGAGAGGUCCUGACCUUCCCUACUAACUGCAGAUCCUCACUGGAGGUUCUUUAUUCAGACUCUUUCCCUCAGAGAUGAUUGACCAGAUGUUUGAUCUUCACCAGAUUAAAACUCCUGCAGAUUAAAAACCAUACGAAUGGUUUAAAAAUGAAUGAAGGAAAUGAAGAUGAAGAAAGAAGAGAGGAAUGGAUGGCACAAAUAA